GUCCUUCUGUAGCAGAGCUUAACGGAGACCUUGCACCCGAGAGGGGGGAGGCGACUAUAAAAGAACUCCCAGCGCAAGUCAGCCUAGCUGGCAACACAAUCGAAUUGCGGGGACGCUUUAAAGCCCACCGGUACCAACUGCUCCUCUGGGGCGGGGCCAGCUAUGCUGGAGGUCACAACCCGGUAGGAUACUACAAUAAGCAAUCCGCAGCGGCUCAGCCGUCCACAGACUAAGUGGUUGUGGGUAGGGAUCCCCUACUUAAGAUAUAGUCGGGCCUUGUGACAAGUCAUAAGGGCUUCUGCGUCCGUAGGUGAACCUGCGGAAGGAUCAUUA
rnacentral:ncRNA from 1 species